AUAAAGGCUUUUAAUUCACUUCCUGAUUUAAAAAAAAUAAAAUAAAGAAACACCUUUAUUUGGUUUAAGAUACUAGUUAUGGGGAAAAAUACUUAUUACAAUAAUAAAAUUAAGGUGAAUAUUUAAUCAAAGGAAAUUUAAAUUAUUCAUAAUCUACACUUCAAAAUAUUGCAGAAAAGUGCCUUUUUGUUAGAAAUAGAGAAGAAAGUGCAACAAUCCACUGUUUUGCCCUUAAUGAAUGUAUAAAUGUCUGUUUUUACCCCCAGCUCUGCAUCCAGGGGUCACAGAACAGACUGAACAGCCAAUAAGAGACAAUUUUACUGAACUAUUGCCCUUCAGGGAAACUAAUUAUAAGAAGAGCUGAUCAAACUUAGCAUAGUUCAUAAUUCAGGGAGAGCAAACAGCUCCUGAAGGCUCUGGUUCUGGUAAAGUCAUGCAAACAAACAGCAGGAAUGUUUACCUCCCCACACCAGGCGGAGCAGGAGCGACCACCACACAAGUCCGCGUAGCCACAACUGGUUCUUCGCCGCUGGCUCCAUUUUCUCCUCGUCUUGUUGGAAACAUGAAUGUUUCUCGAUGCACGGUUACAUAUUUACCAGGGGCUCUCGCUGCUUCACGCUCCUGUGCGCGUCCAGCGGCUCAGAAAAACUCCGUUGAACGCAGGUUUCCAUAAAGGCCCUCAACUCCUGCUUGAUCAGCGUGUAGAUCCGCUGGUAGAGCCGCCUGUUGGGCAGCAUGAGGUCGGUGGCGAUGUCCGUGUGAUUGACUCCAGGAAGCAGGUGGAGAGACACCUUCGCAGAACGAGAGGCGAGGACCUCCGAGAGCUUUGAGGAGGACUCCAACGGAACGACGACGUCCUCGACCCCAUGGAUCAAAGCGAACGGAGGCAGUCUGGGAAUGACAGAAACAAAACCACCCAAAGGUCGGAUAAAACGGCUUCUAACAGACGACCCACUCGUCUUCACCUGUCGAGCUUCUCCUGGCUGAGCGUCUUCACCACACAGGUUGGGGAGUAGAGGGGGAAGUUUUCCACGCCGGUCAUGGCUUUGUGCAUGGCAGAGACGAACUCCACCCCUCUCGUCUUCUCAUGCUGAUAGUGAUCCAUGAUGUCAUAAACACCACUCAGACCUGCAUAGGAGUUAUGAAAAGAAAUGUUAACUAUUUAUUGUUAUUUCCUGUUUUACUGUUCACUGACUUCAUAAAAUAAUCAGUUUGCAAUUGAUUUUGUAAUUACUCGAUAGUCCAGAGCCUUUUUGAGCAUUUUCGUAAUACUUUACAAUUUCCUCUAAUAAUUAAUUCAUCUUUAAAACAGAUUUUUGUGGUGAGGCCUGAUAUUUGUCUAUUCAGUACAAGCUUAGAUUCUAU
rnacentral:lncRNA from 1 species